GAUGAACGCUGGCGGCGUGCCUAAUACAUGCAAGUCGAGCGAACAGACGAGGAGCUUGCUCCUCUGACGUUAGCGGCGGACGGGUGAGUAACACGUGGAUAACCUACCUAUAAGACUGGGAUAACUUCGGGAAACCGGAGCUAAUACCGGAUAAUAUAUUGAACCGCAUGGUUCAAUAGUGAAAGACGGUUUUGCUGUCACUUAUAGAUGGAUCCGCGCCGCAUUAGCUAGUUGGUAAGGUAACGGCUUACCAAGGCAACGAUGCGUAGCCGACCUGAGGGUGAUCGGCCACACUGGAACUGAGACACGGUCCAGACUCCUACGGGAGGCAGCAGUAGGGAAUCUUCCGCAAAGGGCGAAAGCUUGACGGAGCAACGCCGCGUGAGUGAUGAAGGUCUUCGGAUCGUAAAACUCUGUUAUUAGGGAAGAACAAAUGUGUAAGUAACUAUGCACGUCUUGACGGUACCUAAUCAGAAAGCCACGGCUAACUACGUG
rnacentral:rRNA from 1 species